rnacentral:tRNA from 1 species
GCCUGGGUGGCUCAGUCGGUUGAGCGUCCGACUUUGGCUCAGGUCACGAUCUCACGAUUCGUGGGUUCGAGCCCCAUCUUGGGCU